rnacentral:rRNA from 1 species
ACCUGGGGAAACCCAGGCUAAUACCGCAUACGUCCUACGGGAGAAAGGGGGCCCCGGCUCCCGCUAUGGGAUGAGCCUAUGUCGGAUUAGCUAGUUGGUGAGGUAACGGCUCACCAAGGCCACGAUCCGUAGCUGGUCUGGGAGGAUGAUCAGCCACAUCGGGACUGAGACACGGCCCGAACUCCUACGGGAGGCAGCAGUGGGGAAUAUUGGACAAUGGGGGCAACCCUGAUCCAGCCAUGCCGCGUGUGUGAAGAAGGCCCUCGGGUUGUAAAGCACUUUCAGCGAGGAAGAACGCCUAGCGGUUAAUACCCGCUAGGAAAGACAUCACUCGCAGAAGAAGCACCGGCUAACUCCGUGCCAGCAGCCGCGGUAAUACGGAGGGUGCAAGCGUUAAUCGGAAUUACUGGGCGUAAAGCGCGCGUAGGUGGCUUGAUAAGCCGGUUGUGAAAGCCCCGGGCUCAACCUGGGAACGGCAUCCGGAACUGUCAAGCUAGAGUGCAGGAGAGGAAGGUAGAAUUCCCGGUGUAGCGGUGAAAUGCGUAGAGAUCGGGAGGAAUACCAGUGGCGAAGGCGGCCUUCUGGACUGACACUGACACUGAGGUGCGAAAGCGUGGGUAGCAAACAGGAUUAGAUACCCUGGUAGUCCACGCCGUAAACGAUGUCGACCAGCCGUUGGGUGCCUAGCGCACUUUGUGGCGAAGUUAACGCGAUAAGUCGACCGCCUGGGGAGUACGGCCGCAAGGUUAAAACUCAAAUGAAUUGACGGGGGCCCGCACAAGCGGUGGAGCAUGUGGUUUAAUUCGAUGCAACGCGAAGAACCUUACCUACUCUUGACAUCCUGCGAAUUUGGUAGAGAUACCUUAGUGCCUUCGGGAACGCAGAGACAGGUGCUGCAUGGCUGUCGUCAGCUCGUGUUGUGAAAUGUUGGGUUAAGUCCCGUAACGAGCGCAACCCUUGUCCUUAUUUGCCAGCGCGUAAUGGCGGGAACUCUAAGGAGACUGCCGGUGACAAACCGGAGGAAGGUGGGGACGACGUCAAGUCAUCAUGGCCCUUACGAGUAGGGCUACACACGUGCUACAAUGGUCGGUACAAAGGGUUGCCAACUCGCGAGAGUGAGCCAAUCCCGAAAAGCCGAUCUCAGUCCGGAUCGGAGUCUGCAACUCGACUCCGUGAAGUCGGAAUCGCUAGUAAUCGUGGAUCAGAAUGCCACGGUGAAUACGUUCCCGGGCCU